GGAGUGUACUGAUGAUAGACAAAGCUGAAAGUCUAUUAGCAGCUAGACUGGUUGGCCAGCCAAUGAGUUCCAGGAUGACAGAGAACGUGGAAGUUAAUCUAAUGAGACCCUAUAAGUGCAAACAUACAGGACAGGGCCACCAUCACCAAUGCUGAAUAAUUUUCAGUUCUUCUUUUCUGUCACCAUUGCAGAGGAUGGACAGAUGGAUUAAAGAGUUGUCUUCAACCUUAGAUCCAAGGAAUUCCUCGAUUUAUAGCUUGUGUCAAAUUGCUUUGAAAAUACAAGGAGUUACACCUGAAAUUAAUAAAAGAGAAUAAAAAACAGAAGCAAAACCAAAGCAGAAGGUUAUAGGCAGGCCACUAAUCUGGUUGUGAAAUACAGCACUUGCUUUCUUACUUUAUCCGUUGACCAAAUAUGCCUACCUCCUAAGACAAUUUCAGUUCUGUGCUUGAUCCUUCCAGUCCAAAAAUUUUUGAGAGGCAACAUCACUUGUAACACAGUUGGUAUUACAUAGAAAGACUGGAGUUUCACCCUGACAUGACCUGUCAGAAUUUUUCACAUCAUAAUUCUAAAUGGAACUACGUAACUGAGCAAAGUUCUUCUUGUAAUUUUUUUGUCUGAAAAUACAUAGUAAUGUUUUAAGCACAUUGUGGAGUUUAGAACCCAAUUCCUGUCUGGGAAACUAUAGGUCUUGUGUUUCAAAUAUCUUUGACACUGCUCACAGUCAUCUACAGAACUGGCACUGUCUGGCUGUGCUGUGCUAAAAUACAGAUGGAGCAACAUCCAUUUUCUGAAGACCAGACCCAAGAAGCCCUCAUCCCAUAUACACAUAAGAGAAAUAUGCAGAGUUCUACAGAAAAUAAAGUGAACAUUUCAUUCAGGAGCUUUAAAGGAAAGCAUCCUGUUGUAAUGCAGAGAGCACCCACAGCGAAGCAGAGAGCACUUCCCGGAUUGGAUUUGUUCUGCGCGGAACACUUCCAAAUGAAAUGCCGCUUUCACCCGUUCUUCGAGCAAUUCCCCCGCCUCGCCCAGCAGUCGGGGAGCGCCGCAGCGCCGACCGCCCGCAGGAGGGCAGCAGCACCGCGCGGCUCUUGGGCUGCUGAGCCGGCGGCCGCCUCCCGAGGAGGAGAAAAGGCUCGUUUCUGCUCCCAAGGGUGGAUAAUCUUGCUCAGGACGCAAUGCAGUGUUAUAUAAUAAACCAGAUAUGAUACACCUGGCGAGUGAUGCGGCCGAUGUGGCUGACUUAGGUUGAUUUGUGUUCAUAAAUCAAGCAUGCUCAGAUGUGGAUGUUUCUCCCAUACUGAGUCGACGUAUUUCUGCAAACUCUGCUAUCUAGGUGGUUUUAAAAGCACGCCUUUGGGGAAAACUUCUUUGUGUCUCCAAUAUUGUUAUACUUUAAAAGAAAAACAAAUCCAAAAGCACAGUAAACCUUCUUCUACAGAGGGGUGUAAUACUACUCUUUAACAUCUUUAUCAAUGAGAGAUAAUGGGAUCGAGUGCAUGCUCAGCAAGUUUGCUGAUGGCACCAAGCUGUGUGGUGCAGUUGACACAAUAAAAGGAGAGAUGCCAUCCA
rnacentral:lncRNA from 1 species